rnacentral:rRNA from 1 species
GACGAAUGCUGGCGGCGUGCUUAACACAUGCAAGUCGAACGGUGAACAGGAGCUUGCUCCUGGGAUCAGUGGCGAACGGGUGAGUAACACGUGGGCAACCUGCCCCUCACUCUGGGAUAACUCCGGGAAACCGGGGCUAAUACCGGAUACGACCUGGAGCGACAUCUCUCCAGGUGGAAAGAACUUCGGUGAGGGAUGGGCCCGCGGCCUACCAGCUUGUUGGUGGGGUAACGGCCUACCAAGGCGACGACGGGUAGCCGGCCUGAGAGGGCGACCGGCCACACUGGGACUGAGACACGGCCCAGACUCCUACGGGAGGCAGCAGUGGGGAAUAUUGCGCAAUGGGCGAAAGCCUGACGCAGCGACGCCGCGUGAGGGACGACGGCCUUCGGGUUGUAAACCUCUUUCAGCAGGGACGAAGCGAAAGUGACGGUACCUGCAGAAGAAGCACCGGCUAAGUACGUGCCAGCAGCCGCGGUAAAAC